CUUCAGUGUUGUGUAGUAGUUUCUUUAUGUGUGGUAGGGAUGUAGUGUUUCUGUGUGUAUGCUGGGGAUGUAGUGUGUCUGUGUGUAUGCUGGUGAUGUAGUGUGUCUAUGUGUGUGCUAGGGAUUUAGUGUGUCUAUGUGUGUGCUAGGGAUUUAUUGUGUCUGUGUGUGCUAAGUAUGUAAUGUGUGUGUGUGCUAGGGAUGUAGCGUGUGUGUGUGUUGGGGAUGUAGUGUG